GGCUUAGGCCGAGGCGGCUGCGUGUUAAUAGUUCGACCUAAUUGGCUGGGCGGAUGGUUAGUGAAUC
rfam:Prevotella sp. CAG:617 genomic scaffold, scf40